CUCAUCUGCAUGCACAUAAUUUGUUGUCAGUAAGAUGCACACUUGCCUGAAGCAGGAUGUGCGCUAACCACGGAGCUGAGUAGUGGGCGUUGCAAGGUUUUAUUUUUUUUACCUGAGAGUGAAAAUCUUUAGCCUGCGGUGAUUCCGCAUUCAGCAGGAAGCCCAUCCUACCAGACUCCGCUGACAUUUCUCAAAAAACGGUAGUCUUCCCGUAGCUAUCGCUAAGCAACUUAAGAAUAACUACGUCUAAAAGUUAAACUUCAAAAGCGAAAGUAUGGAAACAAUGGCGGACCUAAAGACUUUUUCAGAGGUAAUUACGCAAAUAUUACAAGAAGUGCCAAGUGCGAGGAAGGGUCUCUCGGACAACCAGACCAACCUGAACCAAGUGGCCGAGUACUGCGAGAAGAAGUACCUGCAGGCAGAGGAUCCAACGAAGGCUCUGGAGGAAACCAAGGCCUUGACCACCCAGGCGUUGGCCAGUGUGACAUAUCAGAUAAACAGCCUGGCGUCCACUUUGUUGAAGCUGCUGGAUUCUCAGGCCUCGCAGGUCAAAGACAUAGGCGCCGCUGUCAACAUCCUCUCUCAGACAGUGGCUGUUCACAAGGAGAAAGUGGCCAGGAGGGAGAUUGGCUCAUUUAGCAUCCCCAAAAAGAUUGCCCGUACCAAAUGUAUGACUUUACCCAAGUCCGGCAUGGAACCCCAGCGGCGCUACACCAGAGAACCCGUCUCCUUCAACACCCUGGACUGCAUUGGACACUCCUUUGAGUUCCCUGUUCAGCCCGCCAAGAAGAGACCGGGGAGUACAGGAAGCACACACUCCAUAAAUCGUGGGCCUGUGGAGUGUCCCACGGUUCCUCCCACUCUACCCAGUGAGCCAAUCAGCAGUGCCAGUGACCGUUACGGGUCCAGCCUUGGCAUCGCCGUGGCCACUCCGUCCGUUCCCUCCUUCUCUUCUGGAUCCAACUUUGGCGGUGACAGCCUACCUCCUCCUCCUCCUCCGUCUGAACAUGGCUAUUCAGACUCAUCUCCACCCCCACCCCCGCCUCCCCAGCUCGGUUAUUCAGACUCAUCUCCACCUCCUCCUCCUCCUCCUCCACCUCCAGACUCAACCCAGGCUGGUUUUCCUGCUCCACCGCCACCGCCCUCCAUGACCUCUCCCGGGGGCUUCCCUCCACCUCCUCCAACCGGCGGUCUAUCGAACGGGAACCUUCCCCCGCCCCCACCUUCAAUGCUUUCCUCAGGAUCUCCUCCACCCCCACCCCCACCACCUCUGAUGUCUCCAUCAGGGGCACCUCCACCCCCACCUCCUCCGAUGUCUUCAUCAGGGGCUCCUCCUCCUCCACCACCUCCACUGCCUUCAUCAGGAGCUCCACCACCACCACCACCCCCACCACCUUCCUGGCACUAAUGAGCAUUGAAGCUUAGCUCUGAGCUAAGAGGACUAUUUUGAUUGGUCAGAAACAUUUCCCAUAAAGCAUUGCUGUUGGUUCUUCAAGGGUACUUGCUAUAUUUUUUUAAUGGAAGUCUUUUGUUGAUCUUUUAUGCCUGUCUUCGUAUGGAUAACAGCACAGCAAAGACUGGGCAUGGAACACAGGGAUUUGUUUCUCCUCUCCACAUGCAAGUUUAUCCUUGAGCUGUGAAGAUUGUUCACUCUCAUUUUAGUGCUCUGCUUCCUCCCGUUGCUUCCUCUUUUACCUUCCCCAAACAAUCGACACCAUCACAUGUUCUCAUUCGUUGUAUUCAAAACCUCAAGGCAAUUUUGCAGAUUUUUUUUCUUCUAUAGAAAUGCGUGUGGAUGAGUAAUAUGUUUUGCCCAGAGAUCUAAAUUAAAUACUUAGCUCUCAAGAGUGUGCAUUCCUAUGUACUGGAUGACAACACGGCGCUUAUAUCAGUUGAACAUGUUUCAACAGCACCUCUGCUGCAUUCCUACACGGCAAGCUCAAACUUGGAGCUGCAUGAGGAUACAUAAAGUGGCAUUCUUAGCGUAGGUGAGCAAGAAUAUGUUUAUAAAUGAGCCGGCAAAUGAAUAAUGUACUUGGGAGUUGUAUUACAAAAAGCCAAUAUAUGACCUGAUACCAUAACAACAAAUAUAUCACGGCAGAAACUGGAUCUAGGAACAAGAAUUGUGUCUACCUAGUGUAAGUAAAUGGACUGAAUGGGAGUUUAUUUGUAGCACUUCUACGUACGUUCUUUUGGGGUAGUCACAAGCCCACAUUUUACCCACGCUAUGUUGCUAGCCAUGCCCAGAAGGGGAACUUUUGAUGCAGAUGAGUAUCUGCAUUAUAUUCUUCUUUCAGUCUUAAACAUAAUAAAGAUUUUAAUUUGAUCUAAACACAAACAGGCAGGUAUAUUGAGAAUUUGUGGGACAGGCAUACCUGCUCCAACUUAAAUGAUUGGAGAUAGGUGCUGUCAAGGUUACGUCACUCACACAUUUCUACUUAGGGUGAGUUUAACUGCUCACGGACGCCAUAAACGGACUCAAUAGAUAGGCAGCAGGCGGUUAAUAACAUCUGUGUUUUUUCCGAAUCAAGCUGCUCGGGCUAAUUGCAAAGGUGUAAAUCCCUGAAGUGGAAGCCACCAUGUUUAUAUAUUAUACUAGCGUAGAGAUCCCUUUCAUAUUCCUGGGAUUGGCUCUCUCUCUCAUGGUCUGCUGUUUGAAGAAAAACAUCAAGCCAGAGGUUGAGGAGACCCUGGAACAGGACCUACGUCCCCCCAUGUUCAUCAGCCCCCUGUUCGAGGAGGGGGGCGUGGAGGCCCUCCAGGGAGGCAGGGUCUCUGAGCUUCACGGCCCACCUGCCUACGCUCUGCAGGACCACAACCCACCACCGCCCUAUUGGGAAGCCUCCUAGUUCUACUCAGAAGCACAUCAUUCACACCGCAAACGCAGAUUGGACAGAACAACAAUGACAUCAUCAACACGCGCCACACACCCUAUGCUCCACAUGCAUAGGAUGGAUUUUAAAGUUAAACUAUGUUCAUUUAAUAUGAUGUAAAUACCGUACUUCUACUUUUUUUGUGUAUUUUAUAAAGAAAUGUUGAGUCCAAUUAAAUGAUAUACAAAAUA